UUGGAAGUAAAAGUCGUAACAAGGUCUCCGUUGGUGAACCAGCGGAGGGAUCAUUACCGAGUUUACAACUCCCAAACCCCUGUGAACAUACCAAUUGUUGCCUCGGCGGAUCAGCCCGCUCCCGGUAAAACGGGACGGCCCGCCAGAGGACCCCUAAACUCUGUUUCUAUAUGUAACUUCUGAGUAAAACCAUAAAUAAAUCAAAACUUUCAACAACGGAUCUCUUGGUUCUGGCAUCGAUGAAGAACGCAGCAAAAUGCGAUAAGUAAUGUGAAUUGCAGAAUUCAGUGAAUCAUCGAAUCUUUGAACGCACAUUGCGCCCGCCAGUAUUCUGGCGGGCAUGCCUGUUCGAGCGUCAUUUCAACCCUCAAGCCCUCGGGUUUGGUGUUGGGGAUCGGCGAGCCCUUGCGGCAAGCCGGCCCCGAAAUCUAGUGGCGGUCUCGCUGCAGCUUCCAUUGCGUAGUAGUAAAACCCUCGCAACUGGUACGCGGCGCGGCCAAGCCGUUAAACCCCCAACUUCUGAAUGUUGACCUCGGAUCAGGUAGGAAUACCCGCUGAACUUAAGCAUAUCAAUAAGCGGAGGA
rnacentral:rRNA from 1 species